rnacentral:misc_RNA from 1 species
CUGAUUACCCAUAGGAUGAGGAAUUCGACUCUGAUCAUCAUCAAGUAUUGUUAGCCAUGCCGCAUUAGAAGCAGCAGUCGAACUAUUACUAGCCAUCACAACCGCAUGGAUUGAAGUGGCUUUGUGGCUGGUAAUAGCAUACUUGCUAUGCUCUUGAAUUGUCUCAAAUGCAAGAUGACCAACCAGCAAACGAAUUAUAUUAUGCUGGGCAAAAAGAUCUUGGCAUUUAGGAUAACUCGCCGCGAGCUCAGAAACAGCCCAAGCUACUACAGCCUGAACUUUCAUAGGACCUUCUUUGAG